AUUGAACGCUGGCGGCAGGCUUAACACAUGCAAGUCGAGCGAGCGGCGGACGGGUGAGUAAUGUCUGGGAACCUGCCUGAUGGAGGGGGUUAACUACUGGAAAAGGUAGCUAAUACCGCAUACCCUCAGAUGUGCCCAGAUGGGUUUGGCUAGUAGGUGGGGUAAUGGGUCACAUAGGCGACGAUCCCUAGCUGGUCUGAGAGGAUGACGAGCCACACGGGAACUGAGACAAGGUCCAGACUCCUAUGGGAGGUAGCAGUGGGGAAUAUUGCAAAAUGGGCGCAAGACUGCGGCAGCCAUGCCGAGUGUGUGAAGAAGGCCUUCGGGUUGUAAAGCAUUUUCAGCGAGGAGGCGUUACUCGCAGAAGAAGCACCGGCUAACUCCGUGCCAGCAGCCGCGGUAAUUC
rnacentral:rRNA from 1 species